UUUUUUAAUAAAGUAAGUUGUUUAUUGUGAAAUAUCGAUGGAAGUGGAGUCAAUAAUUCAAACAAGACCUGGUAUGAUUGUGCAAGGACAAACAAUGCAAUUGCAAGUGAAGGCAUCCACCAGCCCUGUUGCAUAUGAGAAACUUAAGAAUAUUCUUCUCAAAGAUGAAGAUAUCGUUCAUGGCUUUCGGAAACAGGAGGAAAUUGUCAAUGCUGCAUCUGCAUAAGUGAUCGAGUUCUGAAGGAGCAACGAAAGACUCUUUGAGGUUCAUAAAUUUGUUCGGACUUGGAAUAAUACCGUGUUAAAUUCAUGGCGUGGAAGGCCGACGGAAGUUAUUGAGAAACAACUUAGACAGAUUAAUACCUGGAUGGUAGAAUUAGAACAGUUCACGAAGUCAUUCUGCACAACUAAUGGUUUUUUAAUGGUU